GAGAAAAGGGACCUGGGGCGGGAGCGCGGCACCUCAUUCUCGUCAUCCUCCUCAUCCUCCUCCUUGUCCUCCUGGUCCUCCUGGUCCUCCUGGUCCUCCUCCUCGUCCUCCUCGUCCUCCUCCUCGUCCUCCUCCUCCUUAUCCUCCGCAUCCUUAUCCUCCUCAUCCUCCUCAUUGUCCUCCUCAUCCUCAUUAUCCUCCUUCUCCUCCUCCUCAUCUUCCUCCUCGUCGUCGUCCUCCUCCUCCUCCUCCUUGUCCUCCUCCUACUCGUCCUCCUCGUCCUCAUCCUCGUCCUCCUCCUCAUCCUCCUCCUCGUCCUCCUCCUCGUCCUCCUCCUCGUCCUCGUCCUCCUCCUCCUCCUCCUCGUCCUCAUCCUCGUCGUCAUCCUCCUCCUCCUCCUCGUCCUCCUCUUUGUCCUCCUCCACAUCCUCAUUUUCAUUCUCUUUAUCCUCCUAUUCCUCCUCCUCCUCCUCGUCUUCCUCGUCCUCCUCCUCCUUGUCCUCCUUGUCCUCCUCGUCCUCCUUGUCCUCCUCAUCUUCGUCCUUUUCCUCAUCCUUGUCCUCCUCCUCAUCCUCUUCCUCCUUAUCCUCCGCAUCCUUAUCCUCCUCAUCCUCCUCAUUCUCCUCCUCAUCCUCAUUCUCUUCCUUCUCCUCCUCCUCAUCUUCCUCCUCUUCCUCCUCCUCAUCCUCCCCAUCCUGCUCAUCCUCAUCCUCCUCGUCCUUCUCCUCCUGGUCCUGCUCAUCCUCAUCCUCCUCCUCGUCCUCCUCCUCCUCCUGUUCAUCUUCCUUCUCCUCCUCCUCCUCCUCGUCCUCCUUGUCCUCUGCAUCUUCAUUCUUUUCCUCAUCCUCAUCCUUCUCCUCCUCGUCCUCAUCCUCAUCCUUCUUCUCCUCCUCCUCCUCCUCGUUGUCCUCCUCCUCCUCAUCCUCAUCAUCCUCCUUGUCCUUGUCCUCUCUCUUCCUCCUCCUAUUCCUCCUCUUCAUGCUUCUCUGCCUCCUCCUCUUCCUUGUCCUCCUCCUCCUCAUC
rnacentral:lncRNA from 1 species